rnacentral:tRNA from 4 species
GCCCAGGUGGCGGAAUUGGUAGACGCGCACGUUUCAGGUGCGUGUGUUUAUACGUGCAGGUUCGAGUCCUGUUCUGGGCACUA